rnacentral:rRNA from 1 species
UGGGUAACCUGCCUCAAAGAGGGGAAUAGCCUCCCGAAAGGGAGAUUAAUACCGCAUAAUAUGUUUAAGUCGCAUGACUUUAACAUCAAAGGAUUUUUCUUUUAGAAAUUCCACUUUGAGAUGGACCCGCGGCGCAUUAGCUAGUUGGUGAGGUAACGGCUCACCAAGGCAACGAUGCGUAGCCGACCUGAGAGGGUGAUCGGCCACAUUGGAACUGAGACACGGUCAGACUCCGUAGGGAGG